rnacentral:RNase_P_RNA from 1 species
CGGAGGAAGUGAGAGGUCGCGGGCCGGCCCCGUCGCCUUCGGGCGUCGGAGGCGCGGCUCGAGGAAAGUCCGGGCUGCACAGGGUACGGAGCCGGGGAAGACCCGGGCGCCGCGAGGCGACGGCCAGUGCAACAGAGAGCAGACCGCCGACGGCGGCCGCGCGUUCCGCGAGAGCGGGCGCCGGACGCACGGGCAAGGGUGCAAGGGUGGGGUAAGAGCCCACCGCGCUCGCCGGCAACGGCGGGCGGCACGGCAAACCCCUCCGGCAGCAAGGCCAAAUAGGAAGCGAGCGGCGACCCGCCGCGACGAGCUUCGGGUAGGCCGCGCGAGGCGUCGGGCGACCGGCGUCCGAGAGAGAUGACCUCCCCGGGCAGCGCCCGGGAACAGAACCCGGCUUACUCCCCUCCGCCAC